rnacentral:rRNA from 1 species
AGAAUCAACGCUGGCGGCGUGCCUAACACAUGCAAGUCGAACGAGAAAGUGGAGCAAUCCACGAGUAAAGUGGCGCACGGGUGAGUAACACGUGACUAACCUACCCUUGAGUGGGGAAUAACUGAGGGAAACCUUAGCUAAUACCGCAUAACACCUACGGGUCAAAGGAGCAAUUCGCUUAAGGAGGGGGUCGCGGCAGAUUAGUUAGUUGGCGGGGUAAUGGCCCACCAAGACAGUGAUCUGUAUCCGGCCUGAGAGGGCGCACGGACACACUGGAACUGAAACACGGUCCAGACUCCUACGGGAGGCAGCAGUGGGAAUUUGCGCAAUGGGGGAAACCCUGACGCAGCAACGCCGCGUGGAGGAUGAAGACCCUUGGGUCGUAAACUCCUUUCGAUCGGGACGAUUAUGACGGUACGGAAGAAGAGCCCGGCUAACUCGUGCCAGCAGCCGC